CUUCCUCCAUCUUCCCUUGGAUCUGUAUCUUGGAGUUUCUGGGCCUCCAGGCUGGUAGGUCAGCAGGUUCUUCUUCUACUGCAGCAUUGCUGUCUCAUCUGCUGCAGGCUGUGCAUCUCCUCCUCUGUUCUUCAGUUUAGGGCCUCCAUCUGUGUCCUCUUUCCAGAAAUUGUGACAUAUCUAGCUCACAGAUUUAAAGAAAGCUUCCAGUUCAAAUGCUGCAAAAUCCAAUCUCCCGAAAUCUGGUCUCCGUCCUCCCGGAUACUCACGUCUCCCGGCAGCCAAACUGGCGGCAUUUGGCUUUGUCCGGAGCUCCAGCGUCUCCUCAGUCUCCAGCACCCAGUCCGGGGACAGUGCACAGCCAGAGCAGGGCCGGCCAGCCACCCGUUCAACCUUUGGGAAUGAAGAACAGCCAGUUCUGAAGGCAUCUCUGCCUUCUAAGGACACACCCAA
rnacentral:sRNA from 1 species